GCACGGUGGCUCACACCUGUAAUCCCAGCACUUUGGGAGGCCAAGGUGGGCAGAUCACUUGAGGUCGGGAGUUUGAGACCAGCCUGGCCAACAUGGAGAAACCCCAUCCCUAGUAAAAAUACAGAAAAUUAGCCAGGCAUGGUGGCGCACGCCUGUAAUCCCAGCUACUUGGGAGGCUGAGGCAGGAAAAUUGCUUGAACCCAGGAGGCAGAGGUUGCGGUGAGCUGAGAUCACACCAUUGCACUCCAGCCUGGGCAACAAGAGUGAGACUCCAUCUCAAAAAUAAAAAAGAUGGAAGCAUGUAUUUGUAUUUUGAGCAUCAAUAACUAGCACACAGCAAGAAGGAGGCCAUCAGCAAACUGGGAAGAGGACCCUCACCAGGAACCACAUCUGCCAGCACCUUGAUCUUGAACUUCUCAGCCUCCAGAACGGUAAAUCAGACACCGCCUAUUCACCAGCUCAUCUAUAAAACCCCCUGCAUUUCACCGCAGAACUGGAACCUAUUUUACCAGGACCCCUCUCUGCAGCAGAGAGCUCUUCUCUUUCUUUCGCCUAUUAAACUUCCACUCUUAACCUC
rnacentral:lncRNA from 10 species